rnacentral:rRNA from 1 species
GGGACACGUGGUAUCCUGUCUGAAUAUGGGGGGACCAUCCUCCAAGGCUAAAUACUCCUGACUGACCGAUAGUGAACCAGUACCGUGAGGGAAAGGCGAAAAGAACCCCGGCGAGGGGAGUGAAAAAGAACCUGAAACCGUGUACGUACAAGCAGUGGGAGCACGCUUAGGCGUGUGACUGCGUACCUUUUGUAUAAUGGGUCAGCGACUUAUAUUCUGUAGCAAGGUUAACCGAAUAGGGGAGCCGAAGGGAAACCGAGUCUUAACUGGGCGUUAAGUUGCAGGGUAUAGACCCGAAACCCGGUGAUCUAGCCAUGGGCAGGUUGAAGGUUGGGUAACACUAACUGGAGGACCGAACCGACUAAUGUUGAAAAAUUAGCGGAUGACUUGUGGCUGGGGGUGAAAGGCCAAUCAAACCGGGAGAUAGCUGGUUCUCCCCGAAAGCUAUUUAGGUAGCGCCUCGUGAAUUCAUCUCCGGGGGUAGAGCACUGUUUCGGCAAGGGGGUCAUCCCGACUUACCAACCCGAUGCAAACUGCGAAUACCGGAGAAUGUUAUCACGGGAGACACACGGCGGGUGCUAACGUCCGUCGUGAAGAGGGAAACAACCCAGACCGCCAGCUAAGGUCCCAAAGUCAUGGUUAAGUGGGAAACGAUGUGGGAAGGCCCAGACAGCCAGGAUGUUGGCUUAGAAGCAGCCAUCAUUUAAAGAAAGCGUAAUAGCUCACUGGUCGAGUCGGCCUGCGCGGAAGAUGUAACGGGGCUAAACCAUGCACCGAAGCUGCGGCAGCGACGCUUAUGCGUUGUUGGGUAGGGGAGCGUUCUGUAAGCCUGCGA